rnacentral:rRNA from 1 species
AUUGAACGCUGGCGGCAGGCCUAACACAUGCAAGUCGAGCGGCAGCGGAAGGAAGCUUGCUUCCUUGCCGGCGAGCGGCGGACGGGUGAGUAAGGUAUGGGGAUCUGGCCGAAGGCGGGGGAUAACCACUGGAAACGGUGGCUAAUACCGCACAAUCUCUAAGGAGCAAAGUGGGGGACCGUUCAGGCCUCACACCUUCGGAUGAACCCAUAUGAGAGUAGCUAGUAGGUGGGGUAAUGGCUCACCUAGGCGACGAUCUCUAGCCGGUCUGAGAGGAUGAUCAGCCACGCUGGGACUGAGACACGGCCCAGACUCCUACGGGAGGCAGCAGUGGGGAAUAUUGCACAAUGGGCGCAAGCCUGAUGCAGCCAUGCCGCGUGUAUGAAGAAGGCCUUCGGGUUGUAAAGUACUUUCAGUCGUGAGGAAGGUGUUAAGGUUAAUAACCUUAGCAAUUGACGUUAGCGACAGAAGAAGCACCGGCUAACUCCGUGCCAGCAGCCGCCGCCG